UCCCUCUAGAUUCCUUACUCCGUGGACCUAAAGACUAGUCAGAGUGGCUGAAGAAAAAAAGAGGGAAAGUCAAAUGGAAAUGGACUUGGAGUCUUUGACGCUCCAGUUCAUGUCCAACAUAU
rnacentral:snoRNA from 1 species